rnacentral:misc_RNA from 1 species
GUCUUUUGUUGAUUAGGGGGACGAGGAUGCUAUACGUGUAGGCGCAUGAGUGGUGCUUUGGUUGUGUAGGUUGGUUGGAUCCUUGCUCUGGCAACGACGUCCAUCCUGCACAAGCAUCUUCAGUCUCGUCUCGUGAUACCUAUUAUCUCGAGUCUUGUGUUGGUUUCUUGUGUUGGGUACCUUACUUGAUGGCAAUCGGUAGCCUAAAUAUUCAAUUUCGCCUUUCAUCGUCCCUUUUGGGGGGUGAUGCAAGGUGAACCAUGAAGUAAUCUUUGUGUCCCACCCUGCUGACAUUUAAUUGUGUUGGUGGUUUGGUGCAUGGGGAAUUUGCUUGAGCUUUUGGAUGCGGUAAAUUAUACACGGGCAUGAGGUCUCACGUCCUCUUUCUGCCCGAACAAAAGCUUUCAUCGCUUAGUUGCGAACGAUAGCGAUCCCCGUCUCGAGCCUUUUGGCAAGUGCGGUGAUCGCUUCGUGAGGAA